rnacentral:rRNA from 1 species
AUUGAACGCUGGCGGCAGGCCUAACACAUGCAAGUCGAACGAGUGGCGGACGGGUGAGUAAUGUCUGGGAAACUGCCUGAUGGAGGGGGAUAACUACUGGAAACGGUAGCUAAUACCGCAUACCAUCGGAUGUGCCCAGAUGGGAUUAGCUAGUAGGUGGGGUAAAGGCUCACCUGGGUGAUGAGCCCUACCUGGUCUGAGAGGAUGAACAGCCAGACUGGAACGGAGACACGGUCCAGAAUCCGACGGGAGGCAGCAGGGGGGAAUAUUGCACAAUGGGCGCAAGCCUGAGGCAGCCAUGCCGCGUGUAUGAAGAAGGCCUUCGGGUUGUAAAGGACUUGCAGCUGGGAGGCGUUACCCGCAGAAGAAGCACCGGCUAACUCCGUGCCAGCAGCCGCGGUAAUAC